GCCGACUUAGCUCAGCUGGUAGAGCACUCGCCUUGUAAGCGAGCGGUCGCGGGUUCGAACCCCGCAGUCGGCUCCGCGU
rnacentral:tRNA from 1 species